UGGGGAAUCUUGGACAAUGGGCGCAAGCCUGAUCCAGCCAUGCCGCGUGAGUGAAGAAGGCCUUCGGGUUGUAAAGCUCUUUUGUCAGGGAAGAAACGGUAGUAGCGAAUAACUAUUACUAAUGACGGUACCUGAAGAAUAAGCACCGGCUAACUACGUGCCAGCAGCCGCGGUAAUACGUAGGGUGCAAGCGUUAAUCGGAAUUACUGGGCGUAAAGCGUGCGCAGGCGGUUGUGUAAGUCAGAUGUGAAAUCCCCGGGCUCAACCUGGGAAUUGCAUUUGAGACUGCACGGCUAGAGUGUGUCAGAGGGGGGUAGAAUUCCACGUGUAGCAGUGAAAUGCGUAGAUAUGUGGAGGAAUACCGAUGGCGAAGGCAGCCCCCUGGGAUAACACUGACGCUCAUGCACGAAAGCGUGGGGAGCAAACAGGAUUAGAUACCCUUGUAGUCCCUGAGCGGGCUGGCAAGGCGCAU
rnacentral:rRNA from 1 species